rnacentral:rRNA from 1 species
GACGAACGCUGGCGGCGUGCUUAACACAUGCAAGUCGAACGGAAAGGCCCUGCUUUUGUGGGGUGCUCGAGUGGCGAACGGGUGAGUAACACGUGAGUAACCUGCCCUUGACUUUGGGAUAACUUCAGGAAACUGGGGCUAAUACCGGAUAGGAGCUCCUGCUGCAUGGUGGGGGUUAGAAAGUUUCGGCGGUUGGGGAUGGACUCGCGGCUUAUCAGCUUGUUGGUGGGGUAGUGGCUUACCAAGGCUUUGACGGGUAGCCGGCCUGAGAGGGUGACCGGCCACAUUGGGACUGAGAUACGGCCCAGACUCCUACGGGAGGCAGCAGUGGGGAAUAUUGCACAAUGGGCGGAAGCCUGAUGCAGCAACGCCGCGUGCGGGAUGACGGCCUUCGGGUUGUAAACCGCUUUCGCCUGUGACGAAGCGUGAGUGACGGUAAUGGGUAAAGAAGCACCGGCUAACUACGUGCCAGCAGCCGCGGUGAUACGUAGGGUGCGAGCGUUGUCCGGAUUUAUUGGGCGUAAAGGGCUCGUAGGUGGUUGAUCGCGUCGGAAGUGUAAUCUUGGGGCUUAACCCUGAGCGUGCUUUCGAUGCGGGUUGACUUGAGGAAGGUAGGGGAGAAUGGAAUUCCUGGUGGAGCGGUGGAAUGCGCAGAUAUCAGGAGGAACACCAGUGGCGAAGGCGGUUCUCUGGGCCUUUCCUGACGCUGAGGAGCGAAAGCGUGGGGAGCGAACAGGCUUAGAUACCCUGGUAGUCCACGCUGUAAACGGUGGGUACUAGGUGUGGGGUCCAUUCCACGGGUUCCGUGCCGUAGCUAACGCUUUAAGUACCCCGCCUGGGGAGUACGGCCGCAAGGCUAAAACUCAAAGGAAUUGACGGGGCCCCGCACAAGCGGCGGAGCAUGCGGAUUAAUUCGAUGCAACGCGUAGAACCUUACCUGGGUUUGACAUGGAUCGGGAGUGCUCAGAGAUGGGUGUGCCUCUUUUGGGGUCGGUUCACAGGUGGUGCAUGGCUGUCGUCAGCUCGUGUCGUGAGAUGUUGGGUUAAGUCCCGCAACGAGCGCAACCCUUGUUCACUGUUGCCAGCACGUUAUGGUGGGGACUCAGUGGAGACCGCCGGGGUCAACUCGGAGGAAGGUGGGGAUGACGUCAAGUCAUCAUGCCCCUUAUGUCCAGGGCUUCACGCAUGCUACAAUGGCUGGUACAGAGAGUGGCGAGCCUGUGAGGGUGAGCGAAUCUCGGAAAGCCGGUCUCAGUUCGGAUUGGGGUCUGCAACUCGACCUCAUGAAGUCGGAGUCGCUAGUAAUCGCAGAUCAGCAACGCUGCGGUGAAUACGUUCCCGGGGCU